rnacentral:rRNA from 1 species
UGAGGAAUAUUGGUCAAUGGGCGCAAGCCUGAACCAGCCAUCCCGCGUGCAGGAAGACGGCCCUAUGGGUUGUAAACUGCUUUUCCGGGGGGAGAAUUUUUCCGUCGUGACGGGAAUUGACGGUACCCCGGGAAUAAGCAUCGGCUAACUCCGUGCCAGCAGCCGCGGUAAUACGGAGGAUGCGAGCGUUAUCCGGAUUUAUUGGGUUUAAAGGGUGCGUAGGCGGAAUGAUAAGUCAGUGGUGAAAACCUGCAGCUUAACUGUAGACUUGCCGUUGAUACUGUCAGUCUUGAGUGUGGUCAAGGAAGGCGGAAUGUGUAAUGUAGCGGUGAAAUGCUUAGAUAUUACACAGAACACCGAUUGCGAAGGCAGCUUAAUGGGGCAUUACUGACGCUGAUGCACGAAAGCGUGGGG